rnacentral:rRNA from 1 species
UACGUAGGGUGCGAGCGUUGUCCGGAAUUAUUGGGCGUAAAGGGCUCGUAGGCGGUUUGUCGCGUCGGGAGUGAAAACACACAGCUUAACUGUGUGCUUGCUUCCGAUACGGGCAGACUAGAGGUAUGCAGGGGAGAACGGAAUUCCUGGUGUAGCGGUGAAAUGCGCAGAUAUCAGGAGGAACACCGGUGGCGAAGGCGGGUCUCUGGGCCGAUACUGACGCUGAGGAGCGAAAGCGUGGGGAGCGAACAGG